UACGGAGGGUGCAAGCAUUAAUCGGAUUUAUUGGGCGUAAAGCGCACGUAGGCGGCUUUUUAAGUCAGGGGUGAAAUCCUGGAGCUCAACUCCAGAACUGCCUUUGAUACUGAGAGGCUUGAGUCCGGAAGAGGUAAGUGGAACUGCGAGUGUAGAGGUGAAAUUCGUAGAUAUUCGCAAGAACACCAGUGGCGAAGGCGGCUUACUGGUCCGGUACUGACGCUGAGGUGCGAAAGCGUGGGGAGCAAACAGG
rnacentral:rRNA from 1 species